rnacentral:rRNA from 1 species
GAUGAACGCUGGCGGCGUGCCUAAUACAUGCAAGUCGAGCGAACAGACGAGGAGCUUGCUCCUCUGACGUUAGCGGCGGACGGGUGAGUAACACGUGGAUAACCUACCUAUAAGACUGGGAUAACUUCGGGAAACCGGAACUAAUACCGGAUAAUAUAUUGAACCGCAUGGUUCAAUAGUGAAAGACGGUUUUGCUGUCACUUAUAGAUGGAUCCGCGCCGCAUUAGCUAGUUGGUAAGGUAACGGCUUACCAAGGCAACGAUGCGUAGCCGACCUGAGAGGGUGAUCGGCCACACUGGAACUGAGACACGGUCCAGACUCCUACGGGAGGCAGCAGUAGGGAAUCUUCCGCAAUGGGCGAAAGCUUGACGGAGCAACGCCGCGUGAGUGAUGAAGGUCUUCGGAUCGUAAAACUCUGUUAUUAGGGAAGAACAAAUGUGUAAGUAACUAUGCACGUCUUGACGGUACCUAAUCAGAAAGCCACGGCUAACUACGUG